UCUUGGGUAAUGCAACCAUAGGGCAGGAAA
rnacentral:piRNA from 1 species